rnacentral:lncRNA from 1 species
CCUUUCUGGAUAAUUCAGUCAAAAAAGGAAGAAGUGAGAGUGUUUAAAAAUACCUGAAUUGGCUGCUAUGCUUGAGUUCUUGAUGCUCAAACAGGAGUGCACAUCAGAGGAAACCCGAGGAGCUUUGUAGAUAAGAAUGUUAAAGACUUUCAGACCUCCUAUUCAGAAGCCACCAAAGGCUUGCUCUGCCUUAUGUCAGUCCACAGCUCAACAGCAACCCUUGCCCUGCACAAGGUCUAGGCUCUCCAGGCACUUCUUUCUUGUCGAUGAGCAUGAGAGCAUGAAUGCACUACUAAAACGCCCUAUUCUGAAGAACUCAAGGAGGAAAUCUGGAAUGAAACAACAAACCAGAAUGGAGAAUGCUAUGGAAGACAGAGAACAACCAACAGACAUCUAUCCUUUAUAAACAGGUCAAGACAAAAAUAUAUCCAUUCUACCAAAGUCUAUCAACACCUAGACCCUGACAUGAGUAAAUGUGCAUAAACAUACUUAUAUAUACAACAAAAUAAGAGUGUAACUUGAAGAAGAAAAAGAGGACACUCCUUAAUAAACAAAGCAUUGACCCUGAAGAGAAGAGGUGA